UCUGGCAUUUUAUAGUCCUUGUGUUCCCCAAAGAGUGAGGAGUUGUCUAACUACAACCUGGAAGAAAUGCAAAAAUAGUCAAAUGCCGACUCCAGAAGUCAUGGCUGGAGAAUGCUAAUAUGUUUGGUGCUUUCUGAGCACCUUUAGGUGGAGUACAUGCCGUGUUUUUAAAAGAUGCCGCCGAUGAGUGUGUUUCCUGACACAGGGAAAGGGCAAAGAGCCUUUCGCGUUUACUGAUGGUGGGUCAUGAAGAGGUCUCCCUAAAAUUUAGGAGGCACACAGACACUGGUGCCUUCUGUCAUCCAGUUCCGUGCUUUCCUGGGCUGCAGGGCUUUUCCGCUGCUAAGUCUCUGAAAACCGUUCGUCACUGUGGAGAUUUGCCUGCAAACAACCUGAAUCUAUCUUCACGCUAAUCACUUGCUCCCGCUGCUGCCACCCUGUCUGAAGCCAGAAUGCUGUGUGUGAUGUCACAGUCACCUCUGUAGCAGCUAAUUGUGAUGCCACAAAUAGAUUGCGACUUCGGCUGUGGGCUAAGCAGCGGGGGACGUGAACCCUGGAGGAACGAAAGGUCUGGUUUUCAUGCCAUUGCACAGUGUUUUUUAAAGGAGGAGAAAUACAGACAAUCUCUCGGAAGGAAGCUCUGCCAGCCAAAACUGCACAGGGUCACCAGCUCUUUGCAGUUGCUGUUUAUUUUUAUAUUGACUAACUGUGUAUGUGUCGAGCUAUCCCAUCCUGGACAGGCCUAGAGUAGGGCCAAUGGGAGGUGGCACCUGGCUGCAAGCCAAGGUCUUUCUCUGUGCACUUUGAUCAUAGUGACCGAUCAAGCGUGUGAGUUUUGCUUUCAUACACGUUCCUCCAGUUCACCUACUUACACUCUGCCUCUUAUUAAUAGAAUUGUUAGCAGGUUCACUCCACAGCUUGUGGGGAAGGUGUGCACAUGGGUGGUGCUGAAGAGAGAAAAUAUCUGAUUACCUCUAUCACCUCUUCUUCCCAGGAAUUAUUGUUCCCAAACUGGGCUCAGAUGCCUCGUUUGCCUUGUGAGUUACGAGGCAGGAAAAAUGGUGGUGUGACGACGCCUCUCUGACUGAUGGCUUCACCAUCUUUAAUCGGAUUAAUUUAUUGGCAUUUCCAGGGGACACCUCCCCGUCGCCUCUGAACACCUAGAAGUCCCAAGUCUCCGGAGUUCUCCAUUUCAGUUUCUCACCCUGUAUCUACCUCCUCACUCCCAGGAGUGUUUAGAGCAGCCGUGCUAACUUUAAUAACUGUAAUAUUGCACAUUCUUAAU